CUGAAGUACUUUAAUUUCGUAGGGUGAAAAUGAAACAACUGUUACUGCUCAUUCUUUGCUUCUCUUAGCACCCAGCUGUUUCUCAACAGCAGGGAAUCUGACUUAGGGCAUCUGAUUAUGACCAUGUGAUAUUUUGCAAACUCAAAUCUUUUUCCCCAUAAAAGCAAAUAGAGGUGGUAGCUGGGCUCACGGGGUUAAUAUUGUCACAUGCUGACAUGCUUUAUCACUUAAUUAUUUUUCUGUCAAAUUUCAAAGACUUCUAGCUAUAGUUCAGGUUUUUUAUUUUUAUUUUUUCAGUCUCCAAAUCACAGCAACUAUUUGAAAUGCAGUGAUCACAAGGAGACUAUUCUGUUCAUUUUGUACUUCUGAAGGAAAAUAAAUGUGCUCUGGAGAAAAUUCUUUGCUUUAAAAGUAAGCUCAAAAUUUUGUAGCUAAGAGCAAUAUAAUAUCAGCACAAUUUUUCCUUCAUAUGGAAUUUGUCAAGGUCUCCCCCCUCCAGUUAUGUAAUUUCCUAGAUAUUUUGCUCAGUAAUAAUCUUUAAAUUACAUUUAAAAAAAAAUAAUAAAACACAUGUAAAAGCUAUUUUGAUAGGAAACUUCCACAGCAGAUUUUGCUACCAAGUUAGAAGGCAUCUAUGCAACUGGCAGAAGCAAUCAUAAUGUUUUUAGCUAUUGUCCUAAGAACUCAUGAGAGCUCCACAGAACUGUGCGGCUGCACUUUUGUCCUCACUGCCUAGAACCCUGCCUCUGAGGAAAAUCAAAUCAGAGAUGCUAAGGAGUAAGUAGAUUACUGGACUAGCUUUAUGAUGUUUACUGAAGAUUAUAAAAAGAUUAUAUAAGGCAUACCCUUAUUUUCU
rnacentral:lncRNA from 1 species